rnacentral:misc_RNA from 1 species
GAUGAAGAACGUAGCGAAACGCGAAAGGUAAUGCGAAUUGCAGAAUCAGUGAGUCAUCGAAUCUUUGAACGCACAUUACGCCCCUUGGUAUUCCAUGGGGCAUGCCUGUUCGAGCGUCAUUUGUACCUUCAAGCUCUGCUUGGUGUUGGGUGUUUGUCUCGCCUCUGCGUGUAGACUCGCCUCAAAACAAUUGGCAGCCGGCGUAUUGAUUUCGGAGCGCAGUACAUCUCGCGCUUUGCACUCAUAACGACGACGUCCAAAAGUACAUUUUUACACUCUUGACCUCGGAUCAGGUAGGGAUACCCGCUGAACUUAAGCAUAUCAAUAAGCGGAGGA